rnacentral:tRNA from 1 species
GGAGGACAUGCCGAUCGGUUAAGGCAAAGGUUUGCUAAACCUUGGUCGCGCAAGCGGCCGGUGAGUUCGACUCUCACGUCCUCCG